UGCUUGUUUCAGCAGCAAUAUACUAAAUUUUGAAUAAUACAGAGAUUAGCUUGGCCUCUGCACAAGGAUGACACACAAAGUCAUGAAGCAUUUCAUAUUUUC